rfam:Schistosoma haematobium scaffold1343_4, whole genome shotgun sequence.
AGCUAUUUGUAUUCGUGCUGAGAUGUCGUCAGACACCAACCCAUUAGGGCUGAUCAGACUUCCAAGAAAAGUGAAGUU